UAAAUUAACUUUUUUUUUUUGCUGAUGAACUGUAUAAAUGAGUGUCUAAUAGUGUUUUAAAUGUGUGUAUUCAUUAUUUUAGCAUUUUGGUGCAUUUUCUUUAAAAAUUAAAAAUUCUGCCUAAAUACCACAGUAUAGCUCCACCUUCAGCUUAAAACAUAGAAUUUGACUCAUUUUGAAUAAAUUUUGGCCAAUGGCUAAAGAGUAAGAUACUACGUAAACCAGUAGAGUACUACGUAGCAGCUCUGUGUCAACGUUAUAAAAGCAUCGGGAGUCUCGGCCACGCCUUGUGGCGAGUUGGGAGUUGGAUUUGCAUGCGAGUGUAGGAGGUUAGCCGUAGUUCAGCAUUAGCAUAUAGCAUUAGCAUAUCCUAGUCUUUAGCAUAGCUUUUAGUGUUAUACAUACUUAUUUAGUGUUAGCUUGGCUGUUGGAUAUUGUAGUUUAGUUACUGUUUGGCUGUUAGUGUAAUUAGGAAAGUAGUUUGGGUUUAGUGCUCCAUAUCGUGUUAGCAUGGUGAGAUGGUGUAGUGUAGUAUGGUUGCGGAGCUCUGUCGGGUUGCACUCCUUUCUGCUGGACUUAGAAAUUAGGCGCCAGUGGUUGCGUGUCUGGAAAGGAUUCAGCUCCCGCCUGGUGCUGUAGUUUGCAACCAGCAUUUUACCCGCGAUUCUGCACGUCUCCGUUCCAAGAGGGAGGCUGUGCCCACCGUGGCUCUUCCGCGAUUUAGAUACAGCCCACCGACUCUGCUCCCCCACCAUGACGGGCUACAGUCUGAGGCUAAAUCUACCCAAGACACUGGCUGUCAGACUGAUUUAGUAAUCUGUAAGAAUGUACUUGUCCAGGCUGACGUGGUGUUACCCGUAGCAAAGAGCUCACAGCCUCAGUGUGUCUUGUGACACAGGGACCAUGACAGAAAUUCAUCUUCCAGAAGGUCCCAGAGCAUCCACACCUCCUGAAAAGACCAAGAUGUGAGGUGUCUGCUGUUGAUUCCAGCUUCCACCUCAGUGACAGUGCAAGCUCAGUGAACUGUUCAAGGUAAAAAAAUUAAAACAUUUCUGAAUUUUUAAGAUAUUAACAAUUAAAUAAGUAUGUGAUUACAUCAUGAAGGAGGCUACUGAUUCUGGCCCUGUGACACUUGGUGGUGACGUGUGAGCUGAUUCACCUGGACACUCAGCAAAAUAUGGACUCUACACCAUGAGGCAGGCACACGUUAAUAACUCUAUAAGAGCACAUAAGCCUGGCUGAUCACCUGAUAACUCCUGUCAUCUGGUUAUGACAGCAUGAGGAUGUCCUCACACACCUGUCAUCUGGUUAUGACAGCAUGAGGAUGUCCUCACACACCUGUAACCUAUCAGCUCAUCUGGCAGAAUAGAG